AUUGAACGCUGGCGGCAUGCUUUACACAUGCAAGUCGGACGGCAGCGGGGUAGUGCUUGCACUACUGCCGGCGAGUGGCGAACGGGUGAGUAAUAUAUUGGAACGUACCGAGUAAUGGGGGAUAACCAAUCGAAAGAUUGGCUAAUACCGCAUACGCUCUGAGGAGGAAAGCAGGGGACCUUCGGGCCUUGCGUUAUUCGAGCGGCCAAUAUCUGAUUGGCUAGUUGGUGGGGUAAGGGCCUACCAAGGCGACGAUCAGUAGCGGGUCUGAGAGGAUGAUCCGCCACACUGGGACUGAGACACGGCCCAGACUCCUACGGGAGGCAGCAGUGGGGAAUUUUGGACAAUGGGCGCAAGCCUGAUCCAGCCAUGCCGCGUGUCUGAAGAAGGCCUUCGGGUUGUAAAGGACUUUUGUUAGGGAAGAAAAAGGAGCGGUUAAUACCCGUUUCUGCUGACGGUACCUAAAGAAUAAGCACCGGCUAACUACGUG
rnacentral:rRNA from 1 species